UGAUGAUCCAUGCUGCUCUUUUCCAUGCUCGUUUCUUGUCACACAGCGCACUUCUGAUAUCUGGCAACAUGUGUGUUCGUGCUUCCGGAAACAAACACCUGAAUAUACGGACGAUGAACUGCUGCUUCUAGAAGUGAGCACGAAGAAGA